GGGCUCCAGAGUACUGGGAUUCCUGUGGCCCAUUUGCUAGAUUAAGCAGAGGCGAUAUCACACCCCGGAGCACGGCUGAGGCCAGCCGCCCUCACAGCCGUGAAUGGCAGCGUCUGGCGGUGCGGAAACUGGUUUCUGGAGUGACUUGCAGUGUGUUGCGCUCAGCUGGACGGUGACUAUGGUGGCAGCCCUGUCUCGAGGUGCACGGUGUCCUGACUGAAACAACUCCACGUGGUUCCUGGUGUGCGAUAACUCACGAAAGGCUCAGGUACCAGGGAUUGAACUCAGGUCCUUGUGCUUGUGAGGCAGGCAGCAGAACCACUGAGCUAAAUCCCCAGUCCUUCUUUGUCUCUCUUAAUAGUCUUGGCUUGAAAUCCACUUUGUCUGCAAAUAAGAUAGCAACUCCUGCUUUUUUCCAGUUUCCUGUUUCAUGGAAUAUUGUUUUCCAUCCCUUGACUUUCAGU
ensembl:lncRNA